rnacentral:lncRNA from 1 species
ACUAAACCACCCCUUCAAAUCAACACACAGUCAGCAUGCAGAGAAAGAUCGCUUUGGACAUAAAGCUUAACAUUUUACCUGCAAGCCCGCUGUUUGAGAUAAACAACACCAAAUCAUUGUAUCCCCUUAGAAACUUAACAGGAUGCUCCACCUUGACCCAAUGACCGAAGACACUGCUGUAAAAAAAAAUAGGUUAUAGAGAAGACAAUAACACGUAUAUUAGAGAAAACAAUAGAAUAGGUUAUAGAGAAUAUGUUGGAAAAUAGGUACUGGUUGUAUACUGAAAUCAAUCAUUAGAACCCCUCUGGCUCUAAAACAUUGAAGAAGAAAUAUCUGAAGAAGAAAUAUCUGCACUAGUUUGGAAGCCUGAAACUCCACGCAGAAAGUAGAUUAACGUGGGUCAACUACAUCUUCAUGGUCAGUCUAAUUUCUAGUAUUACGGGUAUUAGAUUAUUGAAGUGCAAUAUACACCAAUAACCAUGUAUUAGUAACAUAGGAAAAAUAUGGAAAUAAUUUCAGGAAUACACAAUACAGGGGCGUUACAAAGCCUAAAAAAAGUUCGUAACUUCGAAUUAUCUUAUCAUACAAUUUGGUGGAGCAAAAACAAAAACUACCAACAUCAAUAUGCAGUGUUUGUCAUAAAACGACAAUUUCAUAUCCAUUACCAUUAUCCUCUAAUGCUCUGAGCAAUCUUAACGUUGGCCUGCAAAUUAUCCGGCCCUUCACCUGUGGAGGUAUUAUAUGCUUAUUUUGUCAACCAAAUGGAGAUCAUUAAACCUGAGUAAAUUUCCACUUAAUUAAGUUCUAAACACUAUAGUAAAAUCUAAAGUUAAAAAGAGCAGUUCAAUUUGACUAAAAAUACAUAAAGGAAGAGAGAAAGAACAAAGAGUUGUAGAAAGCUGUAAAAUGAUACUAAACCUGCAAGUUGAAUCAGAAAAAUAUUCAAACAAAUCUAAAAGCCAAAUUAUUCACAGGAUCAGUCUCAAAUUAAUAAAGAACUUGGGAAAUGCUAAGGAUGUCCAGCAGUUUACAUCUUCUCUAAAAAUACUACAGAUGGGUUCCUCCACUGACACUAUAAAAACAAGAGGUAUUCAUCAAUUCCCCCCCUGAACUUGUGACCAUUGGCCAAUUUCCCCAUUCAACUCUCAUAAUUAGUCAAUUUCCCCCCUCAACUCUCAUAAUUAGUCAAUUUCCCCCCUCAACUUUAAUUUGGCCAAUUUCCCCCCUCAACUCUCAUAAUUAGUCAAUUUGCACCCUACUGUUAAUUUUUUUUAAUUUUCCAUCUAUUCUUUUUUUCUUUCUUUCAAUCUUUCUAAUAACUUCCAACAAAGUACUAAAAUUAACAUAAACUCACCUGCAUAAUAUAAGGUAAAAUGUACAAAAACAUAAUACAAUUAGUAUGUGAUAUGGGUUGAUUAUAAGAAAAAGUUAUGAAUCAGGUUUAAAGCAUGUAGAAGAAGAAAUAAUAAUCCUAAACUCAUGGAUCAGACCUAUUUCAAUAAAAUGGGUUAUUCUUACUAAGGAGUCGAAAAUUAUGAAUUGACUAGCCAUUUUUGCACUAAAGCUCGAUUCUCCGCAAUUUACUUGAACUUAGCUUUCACUUUUAUAAAGAAAAUUGUAUUCACAUACAAAAAUGUACACAUCAAUCCUUUUCGUUAUCAAUAAUACUAUCUAUGAUAAAUUGUAAAAUUCUAAAUUGUUAAAAAAUUAACAGUAGGGUGCAAAUUGACUAAUUAUGAGAGUUGAGGGGGGAAAUUGGCCAAAUUAAAGUUGAGGGGGGGAAUUGACUAAUUAUGAGAGUUGAGGGGGGAAAUUGGCCAAAAUUAAAGUUGAGGGGGGAAAUUGGCCAAUAGUCACAAGUUCAGGGGGGAAAUUGAUGAAUACCUCUAAAAACAAAUUUAAAAUUACAAUUAAACUUAAUAUUUUCUCUUUUCCUCUCCCUCUUCGUGUUCCCUCUGUCCGAUGAAAACCAGAAGCGCAAAGCUUCCUAAAAUUCUAGCCAUUUUACUCAUCACUUCCCAAAAACUACAUAUACGUUUUAAUCCGACAACUAUGAAUACAUAUUCAAACUGGGAAAAAGUAGGACAGAAAACAUACCCAAAAAGUAACCGUGGCGUUCUAGCUUCUGCCAAAUCUCAGAUUUAUCAACUGAGGAGGCAAAACGCUAAAUCCCUUUUUAGCUGGGAAAGCCCUGACAAAGCACCACAACUCACCGCAAAACCAAAAUUAACAAAAAUCCAAAAUUAAAACUCAAAUACAGUACCUGAGUUGAAUAGAACUCAUUUCACUAUGAUCUGAAGACAGGCCGCGCCCAAACUGGGCUGGAAAUUCGUCGGAAAUUCGGCAACAACUUCGGAAUCCAAGACGGCAAAAGAGACAAAAUCUGUGAAGUCUUGGCCCGGCGAUUGCAAGUUUAGGAACCCUAGAAACCAAUUUUAUGUGUUUCGACAAAACGCCCACAACUGUAGGAUUGCAGGGAUGCAUAACUCCCCUCAAAUGCAGAGACGCAAAGAAAAUCCCUUAAAACACGAAAUUCAGGAACUUUCUCCUGAAUAUUUUGUGAAAUAAAGAACGGAAUAUUUGAGAGGAAUGGAGGAUUUGAGAAAAUCCCUUAAAACAUGUUUUUAACUACUA